GAAAAUAAAGUGGACAGAUUGAGAAAGGAAGAGAAAUAGAAAAAAAAAGAGUAAGCGAAUAGACGAAGCGAGCGGACGAAGAAAGUUCUGGAAUUCGGAAACCGACCACGCGGCAUCGAAAACGUCUGCAAAAGUGCAAAAAGCAGGAAUGUUGCCUGACCACGAUGAUGCGAGGGAAAAGGAUUCUUAAGAAAAAUUCCCACGGAUGCAAAUUCCAGGAUUGUCUUUCCACCAACGUCUCUCGGACCUCGGACGGGUCAUUGAUGACCGGCAAGAAAAUGUGGUUCCCUUGCGACUUUUAUUCUCAUCUAGAAAGAAUUGCCUGUAAUCCAAUCCAAGUUGGACGCCGGCGGCAGGAUUCUCCCGGGAAAUGCGAGCAAAAUAGAGAGGACGGAUAAAAGACAGGAGCGAAGAGGAGAUACAAAGAGAACGGCAGACUCGAAAUUUUCUCGGAAGCAGUGCUGUGAGCGUCGCGAGAUGAAAAGCCCGUGGACAAUGGGGACAAAGGAAAUUUUCGGGGUACCGGUGGUGUUAUGUACCGGCUGGCUGGCAAGCUGCAGCUCCGUCGCCGCACCGCACCGCACCGCCACGCCGGUAGCGCG